rnacentral:tRNA from 1 species
UUAAUGGCGGUGUAAGGGCACGAAGAAUUUUGAUUUCUUAAGUAGGAGCAUCCUCUUUCAUUAAA